AGAGUUUGAUCCUGGCUCAGGAUGAACGCUGGCGGCGUGCUUAAUACAUGCAAGUCGAACGCUUCACUUCGGUGAAGAGUGGCGAACGGGUGAGUAAUACAUAAGUAACCUGGCAUCUACAGGGGGAUAACUGAUGGAAACGUCAGCUAAGACCGCAUAGGUGUAGAGAUCGCAUGAACUCUAUAUGAAAAGUGCUACGGGACUGGUAGAUGAUGGACUUAUGGCGCAUUAGCUUGUUGGUAGGGUAACGGCCUACCAAGGCGACGAUGCGUAGCCGACCUGAGAGGGUGACCGGCCACACUGGGACUGAGACACGGCCCAGACUCCUACGGGAGGCAGCAGUAGGGAAUUUUCGGCAAUGGGGGAAACCCUGACCGAGCAACGCCGCGUGAAGGAAGAAGUAAUUCGUUAUGUAAACUUCUGUCAUAGAGGAAGAACGGUGGAUAUAGGGAAUGAUAUCCAAGUGACGGUACUCUAUAAGAAAGCCACGGCUAACUACGUGCCAGCAGCCGCGGUAAUACGUAGGUGGCGAGCGUUAUCCGGAAUUAUUGGGCGUAAAGAGGGAGCAGGCGGCACUAAGGGUCUGUGGUGAAAGAUCGAAGCUUAACUUCGGUAAGCCAUGGAAACCGUAGAGCUAGAGUGUGUGAGAGGAUCGUGGAAUUCCAUGUGUAGCGGUGAAAUGCGUAGAUAUAUGGAGGAACACCAGUGGCGAAGGCGACGAUCUGGCGCAUAACUGACGCUCAGUCCCGAAAGCGUGGGGAGCAAAUAGGAUUAGAUACCCUAGUAGUCCACGCCGUAAACGAUGAGUACUAAGUGUUGGGUGUCAAAGCUCAGUGCUGCAGUUAACGCAAUAAGUACUCCGCCUGAGUAGUACGUUCGCAAGAAUGAAACUCAAAGGAAUUGACGGGGG
rnacentral:rRNA from 1 species